UAGAGUCACUGAGUCAUAAGUUAUUAAGUUAUUAUUAUUAUUAUCAUUAUUAUUAUUAUUAUUAUUAUUAUUAUUAUUAUUAUUAUUUGAUUAGCACAAUGCACAUUAAUCAACACAUCAGAAUCAAUAUAAAAAGCAUCAACAUAAAUAUGCCAGAGUUAGCACAGCUAGCUGCCAAAUUUCAUCCACUGUCCUGAGGCAGACACUUAAAAAAUAUUAAGACAAAUACACAAAACAUGUAAAAAUCUUACACAAAAAAUGAGUCCUGAUUAGAGAUGGGCAUCGAUAACUGGAUAAAGAACCGGUUCCAAACGCUUUAAUUCAUCGAUAUCAUUAGCAUUCUAUCGAUUCCCCUUAUCUAUAUUUUUCGUGCGGAAUCUUUACGUCCAGAAGGUGGCGGUAACGCACCUAAAAGUGUUUUUCUUUUUUCUGCCAACCGCCAUAAAAUAAAAGAAGAAGGUGAUUCACAUCACGUGACACAAGGAAGCGGCUAUGGCAGAGACUGAAACAGCGGAAAGUAUGGCUUCACUUUUCCAGGUAACAGCUCAAUGUGCAACUAAUGCAGCACCGUAAUUUUCAAGGAAUGGCGACAACACCACCAACACGAUGACGUCAUUUAAUACCGAACAAAUUCCGGUAAACGACUGAAGCUACCGCUAAAUCUCAGCAGAGCAACACAGGCACAGUGGAGCGGGUGAGACAGAUGGGAGCGCUACCUCUGUAGGAGACGAACAAACUUGGUGGCGGACUGGAACAGUUGUUUGAUGCCUCGAGACACCGACAGCCUCUUGCUGGGACUCAGGGGCUUAGGGCUCUCUGAGGAAAGAGGAGAUGAGGAUCAGACCGGAUGAAAAUCACUUUAUCCGACAACCAGUUUCCUCACUAGACACUCGUGGUUUCUGAUCCGUGACUUCACACCGAUGCACUCCCUCCAACCUGCGCGAGAGGAGAAAAGAGGGAAAGCAGUUCAUCACGUUCCUUUUUAUGCAGUUCAAGAAAAUCAUUGCAGGGGCCAAGAAGUAAUUUGCAGGAGAGUCCUGAGAGCUUUUUUUUUUUUCUUCUGUUUUAGUGAUUAGGAAGCAAGAGUGUCUGCAUGAGAGAUCAUCUGUGUGCUGUGAAAGUUGAUUCAAUCUGAGCUGAUUCAACCGUGUCUUCUUUAGUCAAGUUUUAGGUUCAAGUCUUUAUAAAGAUCAAAUUACCAGUUUAUUAGAUACACUAGAGAAAAAAAAUCAAUUUUAAUAUAAGAUUCCUGCAUUAAAUCUUAUCUUCAUGAA